UUUCGCAAUGCCCGAAAGGGUGACGAAGCGACGCCGCGUGUGGGAAGAAGGCCUUCGGGUUGUAAACCACUGUCGGGAGUUAAGAAAUACAAGGAUAUUAAUAGUGUCUUUGUUUGACUAAGGCUCCGGAGGAAGCCACGGCUAACUCUGUGCCAGCAGCCGCGGUAAUACAGAGGCGGCAAGCGUUGUUCGGAAUUAUUGGGCGUAAAGAGCACGUAGGCGGCUAUGUGAGUCGGUUGUGAAAGCCUUCCGCUCAACGGGAGAACAGCAUCCGAUACUGCAUGGCUUGAGUGCGGGAGGGGAGAGUGGAACUUCUGGUGGAGCGGUGAAAUGCGUAGAUAUCAGAAGGAACGCCGGCGGCGAAAGCGGCUCUCUGGCCCAUAACUGACGCUGAGUGUGCGAAAGCUAGGGGAGCAAACGGGAUUAGAUACCCCGGUAGUCCUAGCCGUAAACGAUGGGCACUAAGUAGAGGGGUUUU
rnacentral:rRNA from 1 species